GGUGAACGCUGGCGGCGUGCUUAAGACAUGCAAGUCGAACGGGCUCUUCGGAGCCAGUGGCGCACGGGUGAGUAACGCGUAACUGACCUACCCCAAAGUCGCGGAUAACGAUUCGAAAGAAUCGCUAAUACGUGAUGUGCUGUCAGAUCCGGUUCUGCCAGUAAAGAUUUAUUGCUUUGGGAUGGGGUUGCGUUCCAUCAGCUAGUUGGUGGGGUAAAGGCCCACUAAGGCGACGACGGAUCGCCGGCCUGAGAGGGUGGCCGGCCACAGGGGCACUGAGACACGGGUCCCACUCCUACGGGAGGCAGCAGUUAGGAAUCUUCCACAAUGGGCGAAAGCCUGAUGGAGCGACGCCGCGUGAGGGAUGAAGGUCCUCGGAUCGUAAACCUCUGAAUCAGGGACGAAAGACGCGAAAGCGGGAUGACGGUACCUGAGUAAUAGCACCGGCUAACUCCGUG
rnacentral:rRNA from 1 species